rnacentral:rRNA from 1 species
UGUAGCGAGGUUAACCGAAUAGGGUAGCCGUAGGGAAACCGAGUCUUAACUGGGCGACUAGUUGCAAGGUAUAGACCCGAAACCCGGUGAUCUAGCCAUGGGCAGGUUGAAGGUUGAGUAACAUCAACUGGAGGACCGAACCCACUAACGUUGAAAAGUUAGGGGAUGACCUGUGGCUAGGAGUGAAAGGCUAAUCAAACCGGGAGAUAGCUGGUUCUCCCCGAAAUCUAUUUAGGUAGAGCCUCGGACGAAUACUUACGGGGGUAGAGCACUGUUAAGGCUAGGGGGUCAUCCCGACUUACCAACCCUUUGCAAACUCCGAAUACCGUAAAGUAAUAUCCGGGAGACACACGGCGGGUGCUAACGUCCGUCGUGAAGAGGGAAACAACCCAGACCGCCAGCUAAGGUCCCAAAGUCAUAGUUAAGUGGGAAACGAUGUGGAAAGGCCCAGACAGCCAGGAGGUUGGCUUAGAAGCAGCCAUCCUUUAAAGAAAGCGUAAUAGCUCACUGGUCGNGCGUAAUAGCUCACUGGUCGAGUCGGUCUGCGCGGAAGAUGUAACGGGGCUAAACUAUGCACCGAAGCUGCGGAUUCAGAAUUUAUUCUGAGUGGUAGGGGAGCGUUCUGUAAGCCGUUGAAGGUGUACCGGGAGGUAUGCUGGAGGUAUCAGAAGUGCGAAUGCUGACAUGAGUAACGAUAAUGGGAGUGAAAAACUCCCACGCCGGAAGACCAAGGGUUCCUAUCCCAUGUUAAUCAGGGUAGGGUAAGUCGACCCCUAAGGCGAGGCCGAAAGGCGUAGUCGAUGGGAAACAGAUUAAUAUUUCUGUACUCGAUAUAAUUGCGAUGGGGGGACGGAGCAGGCUAAGCAAGCAUAGCGUUGGUAGUCUAUGUGAAAGUGAGUAGGGCGUUUGUUUAGGUAAAUCCGGACAAACAUUAAACCUGAGACACGAGACGAGUCACUACGGUGAUGAAGUUGCUGAUGCCAUACUUCCAGGAAAAGCCUCUAAGCUUCAGAUUAUAUGGAAUCGUACCCCAAACCGACACAGGUGGUCAGGUAGAGAAUACUAAGGCGCUUGAGAGAACUCGGGUGAAGGAACUAGGCAAAAUCGUACCGUAACUUCGGGAGAAGGUACGCUCCUAUCUGUGAUGAGACUUGCUCUCUAAGCGGACGGGAGCCGCAGUGACCAGGUGGCUGGGACUGUUUAUUAAAAACACAGCACUGUGCAAAAUCGCAAGAUGACGUAUACGGUGUGACACCUGCCCGGUGCCGGAAGGUUAAUUGAUGGGGUUAUCUUCGGAGAAGCUCUUGAUCGAAGCCCCGGUAAACGGCGGCCGUAACUAUAACGGUCCUAAGGUAGCGAAAUUCCUUGUCGGGUAAGUUCCGACCUGCACGAAUGGUGUAACCAUGGCCACGCUGUCUCCACCCGAGACUCAGUGAAAUUGAAAUCGCAGUGAAGAUGCUGUGUACCCGCGGCUAGACGGAAAGACCCCGUGAACCUUUACUACAGCUUGGCACUGAACAUUGAACCUACAUGUGUAGGAUAGGUGGGAGACUUUGAAGCAGCGACGCUAGUUGUUGUGGAGUCAACCUUGAAAUACCACCCUUGUAGUUUUGAUGUUCUAACGUUGGCCCCUGAAUCGGGGUUACGGACAGUGCCUGGUGGGUAGUUUGACUGGGGCGGUCUCCUCCUAAAGAGUAACGGAGGAGCACGAAGGUUGGCUAAGUACGGUCGGACAUCGUACGGUUAGUGUAAUGGUAGAAGCCAGCUUAACUGCGAGACAGACACGUCGAGCAGGUACGAAAGUAGGUCAUAGUGAUCCGGUGGUUCUGAAUGGAAGGGCCAUCGCUCAACGGAUAAAAGGUACUCCGGGGAUAACAGGCUGAUACCGCCCAAGAGUUCAUAUCGACGGCGGUGUUUGGCACCUCGAUGUCGGCUCAUCACAUCCUGGGGCUGAAGUCGGUCCCAAGGGUAUGGCUGUUCGCCAUUUAAAGUGGUACGCGAGCUGGGUUUAGAACGUCGUGAGACAGUUCGGUCCCUAUCUGCCGUGGGCGUUUGAGAAUUGAGAGGGGUUGCUCCUAGUACGAGAGGACCGGAGUGAACGAACCGCUGGUGUUCGGGUUGUCAUGCCAAUGGCAUUGCCCGGUAGCUACGUUCGGAACUGAUAAGCGCUGAAAGCAUCUAAGCGCGAAGCAGGCCUCGAGAUGAGUUCUCACUAGACUUUUAAAGUCUCUGAAGGGCCGUUGAAGACUACAACGUUGAUAGGCAAGAUGUGGAAGUGGUGUGAGCCAUUAAGCUAACUUGUACUAAUUAC